UACGGAGGAUGCAAGCGUUAUCCGGAAUCAUUGGGCGUAAAGGGUCCUGAGGUGGUUUGCUAAGUCUACUGUGAAAGAUCAGGGCUCAACCCUGAAGAUGCGGUGGAAACUGGCAGGCUAGAAUACGGUAGGGGCAGGGGGAAUUCCCGGUGUAGCGGUGAAAUGACAUAGAUAUCGGGAAGAACACCAAAGGCGAAGGCACCCUGCUGGGCCGAGUAUUGACACUGACAGACGGAAAGCUAGGGGAGCAAAUGGGACUUAGAAACCCCGG
rnacentral:rRNA from 1 species